rnacentral:rRNA from 1 species
UACCAGCUCUUCGAGUGGUGUGGAUGUUUAUUGGGCCUAAAGCAUCCGUAGCUGGCUAGGUCAGUCCCUUGUUAAAUCCACCGAAUUAAUCGUUGGAUCGCGGGGGAUACUGCUUGGCUAGGGGACGAGAGAGGCAGACGGUAUUUUCGGGGUAGGGGUGAAAUCCUAUAAUCCCGGGAAGACCACCAGUGGCGAAGGCUGUCUGCUAGAACGCGCCCGACGGUGAGGGAUGAAAGCUGGGGGAGCGAAC